AAGUCGUAACAAGGUCUCCGUUGGUGAACCAGCGGAGGGAUCAUUACAGAGUUGCAAAACUCCCAACCCUUUGUGAACGUACUGAAAAGUUGCUUCGGCGGGAGGCUCCUCAGGGAGCGGACCGCCGGAGGAAUCCAAACUCUUGUUUUUUUGGCAUCUCUGAGUAGCUUAUAAAUAAGUUAAAACUUUCAACAACGGAUCUCUUGGUUCUG
rnacentral:misc_RNA from 1 species